GCGGCCCGCGCACCACGACCCCUUCUUCUCGCCUGACCUGCGUGAAGACCAACAGUCCGCAGUAGGCGCCUAAUAAAUACUGAUAGGCUAUUCCCCAGGAUCCCGUUCAGGAUCACACGUUGCACUGAGUUGUCAUGCCUCUUUAGUUUCCUUUAAUCUGGAAGGGCAGUUAUCCAGCCUUCGUCUUUCAUGACCUUGACAUUUUGGAAGAGUACUGCCUUAUUUCAACUUAAUUACGUCUUUAAAGACCUUAUCUUCAAAUAUAGUCACAUUCUAAGGUACUGGGAAUUAUAACUUUAACAUGAAUUUGGGGUGAGGAGAGACACAAUUCAGUCCAUAAUAGCCCCUUUGGCAUUUGGCAUUUGAAUUGAAACCUGAAUGUCAAGAACCCAGCUCUGAAAACUAAUAGGAAGUCAUUCCAAGAAGAAAGUAGAACAAGUACAAAAGCCAUGAGAUGGGAACAAGCUUGUUGUUAAACCAGCCAUUUGUUAAGACUUUGAAAUGGUACAACCCAUUUUGGGGAAAAAAUAAAAACAGUUUGGCAAUUCCUUAUAAAGUUAAAUAUAUAUCGACCCUGUGGCCCAGCAAUUCCAUGUCUAAGGUAAGUGAAAACUUCUGCUAAUAAAGUGACUUGUAUAGGAAUUCACAGUGGCUUUUCCCAUAAGAAUUCCAAACUGGAAAAUGCUGCAAUGUUCAUCAGUAGAUGAAUGGAUAAACGAAUUGUGGUAUUCCCAUACAAAGAAAUGUUGCUGAGGGUGUGUUUGUUAAGGGAGGAAUAAAGUAUUGAUACAACAGCAUGGAUGAAUCAAAAUAGUUAGGCUGAGUGAAAGAGGCCAGGCACAAGAGAGUACCUGCUAGAUGAUUCUAUAUACAAUUCUUAACAACGCAAACUAAUUUAUAGUGACAGAAAGCAGGUCAGUAGUUGGGGUAGGAAGGAUGGAUGGAAAACAAAAGGACCUGAAACUUUUUGGGGUGUUGGGUUAUCUGGACUGUAGUAAUAGUUUCAAGGGAGGAAUAUAUUAAAAUGCUUCAAAUUGUACCCUUUAAAUUAGGUGUAGUUUAUAUAAAUCAAUUUUACAACUUUAACUCAAUAAAGCUAAAAAAAAAUUGGGGGAAAAAGUAUAUACUAUAAUUCCAUUAAUAUAAAGUCAAGCAACAAUGGUCUAGGGUGGCAGAAGUCAUAUCAGUGUUUGUCUUUCCUGUGGGAAUUGACUGCUAAGGGCCACAGGGGAAUUUUCUGGGUGAUGGAAUUUUAUUGUAUGUAAAUUAUACCACAAUAAAGUUUAAUUGAAAUGUGAA